rnacentral:ncRNA from 1 species
CAAAGGUUUGGUCCCGGCCUUACUAUCAAUUACAACUUAACUUAUACAUGCAAGUAUCCGCACUCCCGUGAAAAUGCCCUUACUCCUCAAGUAUGAGGACGAGGAGCUGGCAUCAGGCACAAAAUUUAGCCCAAGACGCCUUGCUAAGCCACACCCCCAAGGGAAUCCAGCAGUAAUAAACAUUAGGCCAUAAGUGAAAACUUGACCUAGUUAGAGUCUGUAGGGUCGGUAAAGCUCGUGCCAGCCACCGCGGUUAUACGAGCGACCCUAGUUGAUAGAUGCGGCGUAAAGAGUGGUUUGGGGUAAAAAUAAAUAAAGCCGAAUAACUUCCCGACUGUUAAAAGUGUUGUGAAACUACUAAGACCAAUAACGAAAGUAGCUUUAAUAUAAUUUUCCUGAUCCCACGAAAGCUAAGAGACAAACUAGGAUUAGAUACCCUACUAUGCUUAGCCCUAAACUUAGAUGUGAUUCUACAAAAACAUCCGCCAGGGUACUACAAGCGCAAGCUUAAAACCCAAAGGACUUGACGGUGUCUCACCCACCUAGAGGAGCCUGUUCUGUAACCGAUAACCCCCGUUAAACCUCACCACCCCUUGUAACUCCAGCCUAUAUAUCGCCGUCGUAAGCUUACCCUGUGAAGGAUGAAAAGUAAGCGAAAUGAGUGAAGCCCAAAACGUCAGGUCGAGGUGUAGCCAAUGAGGUGGGAAGAAAUGGGCUACAUUUUCUCAUCCAGAAAAUACGAAUAAUGCUAUGAAAUCUAGUAUUUGAAGGUGGAUUUAGAAGUAAAAAAUUAAUAGAGUGAUUUUUUGAAUAAGGCUAUGAGACGCGUACACACCGCCCGUCACCCUCCCCUCCUUCAUUAAAUCGAAUGUAAAUAACCAGUCAACACAGAUAAUUAUGGGGAGGCAAGUCGUAACACGGUAAGUGUACCGGAAGGUGCACUUGGACAA